CCGGCGCUUAGAACGGUGCUCGGCACAUAGUAGGCGCUUAACGAAUACCAACGUUAUCAUGAUCAGUAGUAGUAAACGCUCGCUGAAGACGAUGGGAUGAACGAGUGAAUGGGCUGAAUCGUCCUUCUCGAGCGCUUGGUACAGCGCCCUGCACACGGGAAUGCAGUAUCUCGAGGAAAGAAGAAGAGGGAUGGAAGCCUGAACGAGCCUGGGAGUCUGAAGACCUAAAUUCUAAUCCUAAUCUAAUCCUAAUCUGAUCAAGCGCUUGCUGCGUGACCUCGGGUGAGUCGCUUCGCUUCGCCGCGUCCGUUUCCUCGUCUGCAAAAUUGGGAUUCGAUAACCGUUCUCCCUCCUGCUUGGACUCUGAGCCCCAACGUGGCAACCGAUCAUUUUCCAUCUAACCCAGGAUUUGGUACGGUGCUUGACGGGGAUGAAGACUGGGAGCUCCACGGGGGACAGGGACC